CCUGUAUCACAUUCUGCCUGCAGUACCUGCAGAUUUGGGUGAAUCUCUCUCUUCGUGAGGUUCCCCAAAAUAUUGAGGUUCCUGGUACCUGCCAGAGGGAGUGUGACAUUCUUUGCUCAACCUUACCAGGUUACAGAACCCAUAAGCACAGUACCAGGCCAAUAUUUCCAAGUGGCUUUAUUCCAGAAUGUCAACCUUCAUUCCUCAAAAGCUGUCUUGUUAUACUCAAGCCCAUCUGUUUUUUCAAACAUGAUGUUCCAGUCAAAGCCUUGGUAAUAUAACCACUGUUUCCAAUUGUGUCCUGUUGAAAGAAGAACAGAUUCUUAUUGCACUUAUGCAAACAACUAUAUUGCCAUAAGAAUAAGAAUACUUACUUAUCAGAAGUUUUUGCGUUUUGGGGGGCUCAGAUAGGGAGGAAAAGACAAAUGUUUCAAUUUUGUUUAUAAAUUGUUGCAAGUCAUAGUUCUUUCAGAGAAUAGAGAAAAAAAGUUUUCUUCACUCUGAAAAAAGCAAAACAUCAAAAAUCAGCAAUAUCUCAAUCAAAAAGUCAUUAAAGUUAUAAUCAUCCCUAUCAGUUUAUUCUGUCCUGUGUAAUCGGUUCUUGAUCUUAAUCUUCUGUCAGCAGUUUGUGAGGUCAUCAGUUUCUCUGUUGGAGUUCUGUAAUUCUUACCCAGUUUAGUUUUACAAUCUGAACGUUUACUGGAAACCUGUAUUCCAGAGUGUCAGAGUCCUUUCCAUGAAUUUCUCUGCAGAUGAAACAUAUUUGCCAAAACAUCAAAGUAAAAUAGCCACUGUUCACAAAUAACAAAACGUACAAAAAUGGUAAUUGACAAAGGCAUUUGACCAUGUCUGUGAUAUACAACAUUUUGAGAUAAUAACCAGGAUUAUAGCUGGCAAUCAGAACAGCUCAGAUAAUUUUUUAAAUAUAUGUAUCAAUAACACUCAUUUACAUAAUACCAUUUAAGAAAGCUUAUCAUUACUUAUUUGACAACGUUUCUCAUGUAAUUUAACAAAAAAAAUAAGGCUUAUUAGUUUAGCAUUAUUUUUCUUAUAGGAAGAGAGCUUUCUCUGAGAAGUCCCAGGGGCCCUCUGAAAAUCCCCAAAGAAACUCUCUCUCCUCUUCCAGGAGUAAUGCUGUGACGCCUGUCACUUUCCUGCUGACUCUCUGAGAAGGGAGACCAAGAAAAACCGGGGCAAUGCAGAGUGUUUUGGAAUUCUCAGCAGACUAGAAUCAACAUGAGCAGAAACUAAGGGAAAUACGUUGUUUGGGGUUGGAGUUAAAUGAAGACAGGCCGUUUCAUGAUGCCUACUUCUUAUUCUUCAUACUGUGUUCUCUUGCCAUUGCAUGGGCACUUGUGAACUACCAAAAGGUUUAUCACAGACCUGAAAGUGUUUCUGAAGAUGUCUUCUGGAAUUGGCAGAAAGACCCCGUUGAGAGAUGGCAGCAUCCACAUCCAGGUUACUUCACCUUAACUUGAAGUACCUAAAUAAUAAUUAGAAAGAAGGUACAGAAAAAGCAAAAUUGGCUAUAAACAAGAAAUACACCGAUAAGCAACUGCAACACCUUUGAGAUUAUUUUGAAAUUUCAGUAAUCAUAAUGAGAUAUACUUCAGUUAUUAGACAAAUAAAUAUGACAUUAAAAAGUGAAGUGCUUCAAAUCACUGGAAUAUAUAAGGAAUAUACUGUUCGUACUGAGAUUUUAAAUAAAUUUGG
rnacentral:lncRNA from 1 species